GAGUUUGAUCAUGGCUCAGGACGAACGCUGGCGGCGUGCUUAACACAUGCAAGUCGAACGGUGAACCCCGCUUGCGGGGGGAUCAGUGGCGAACGGGUGAGUAACACGUGGGCAACCUGCCCCCGGCUCUGGGAUAACCCCAAGAAAUUGGGGCUAAUACCGGAUAUGACCGCUGGCCGCAUGGUCUGGUGGUGGAAAGAUUUAUCGGCUGGGGAUGGGCCCGCGGCCUAUCAGCUUGUUGGUGGGGUAGUGGCCUACCAAGGCGACGACGGGUAGCCGGCCUGAGAGGGUGACCGGCCACACUGGGACUGAGACACGGCCCAGACUCCUACGGGAGGCAGCAGUGGGGAAUAUUGCGCAAUGGGCGGAAGCCUGACGCGGCGACGCCGCGUGGGGGAUGACGGCC
rnacentral:rRNA from 1 species